AUUCGUUUCUUUUUGUACAAGAUGUUAAGACCUUUAACAAAAGUGUUGAUUGUUUGUGUGGUUGUUUUGUGUCUUACGCAAACAGUAAAAUCGCUUCCAAAGCUUCCAAACUUAUUGUGGCCAUGGGUAACUAAUACACGAAAAGGUGUAACACCAACUGUUGUUGAAUCUGUUGAUUCAUCUGAUUCUUCGUUAGCAACUAUACCAGAUAGCCCGACAAUUGAAAAAAUUCCGCCUGUAGUUGGAAGUACAGCAUUAAAACCUAAAUCGAGCUCUUUUGUUGCUCGUUUUACUGGAUAUAUUUAUGAUGUCGCAAAAUUGAUCUUACUUUCUACAUCAUUCUUAGCAUUUUUGUUUUCUACAGUGUUAUACAUAUUUUAUUAAUCAACUAGUGUGAUUUGUGUAGUAUAGGUUGCAUACACAGCACUCAGAAUGGAAAAGUAGUUGAAUAAGUAAAAAUAAUGAAUUUAUUAUAUGGUAAUAAAUAAACAUUGAUUUUGUUGUUAAAACGUCAAAAAAUCUACACAAUGAACAAUGAAGUUAUACUCAAGUGCCAGAGGACAAAUGUUAAUAUUAUAAAAGUUGGGUUAGGUUACGACACGUCAAAACUCUGUUUUGGUAAUAUCCGAUAUUAAAUAUCUCCAAAACAACAAUAAAUCCAAAGAUUCCAUUUA